GGUGAAAGGUCGGCGGCGCCGGUGCUGCAGCUGGGGCAGCAGAGCCAGGACGGCCAAGGAACUGACUGACAGACGGACUGACCAUGGCCGAUCAGCCGAAGCCCAUUAGCCCGCUCAAGAACCUGCUGGCCGGCGGCUUUGGCGGCGUGUGUCUGGUGUUCGUGGGGCACCCUCUGGACACGAUCAAGGUCCAACUGCAGACACAGCCACCAAGUUUGCCUGGACAGCCUCCCAUGUACUCUGGGACCAUUGACUGUUUCCGGAAGACUCUUAUUAGAGAGGGCAUCACAGGGCUAUACCGGGGAAUGACUGCCCCUAUUAUCGAGGUCACCCCCAUGUUUGCAGUGUGUUUCUUUGGGUUUGGUUUGGGGAAGAAACUACAACAGAAACACCCAGAGGAUGUGCUCAGCUAUCCCCAACUGUUUGCAGCUGGGAUGUUAUCUGGUGUAUUCACCACAGCAAUCAUGACUCCUGGAGAACGAAUCAAGUGCUUAUUACAGAUUCAGGCUUCUUCUGGGGAAACCAAGUACACUGGUACCUUGGACUGUGCAAAGAAGCUGUAUAAGGAGUCUGGGAUCCGAGGCAUCUACAAAGGGACCGUGCUUACCCUCAUGCGAGAUGUUCCAGCCAGUGGGAUGUAUUUCAUGACAUAUGAAUGGCUGAAAAAUAUCUUCACUCCAGAGGGAAAGAGGGUCAGUGAGCUCAGUGCACCUAGGAUCCUGGUGGCUGGGGGCAUUGCAGGGAUCUUCAACUGGGCUGUGGCAAUCCCUCCAGAUGUGCUCAAGUCCCGCUUCCAGACUGCAUCUCCUGGGAAGUAUCCUAAUGGUUUCAGAGAUGUGCUGAGAGAGUUGAUUCGGGAUGAAGGAGUCACAUCUUUGUACAAGGGGUUCAAGGCAGUGAUGAUCCGAGCCUUCCCAGCCAAUGCGGCCUGUUUCCUUGGCUUUGAAGUUGCCAUGAAGUUCCUUAAUUGGGCCAUGCCCAACUUGUGAGGCCAAAGCUGCUCAAGGCUUCUGGAUGCUGGAAGCUGCCACCGAGGAAGAAUAGAGGGCAGGACUAAGCAGGCCUAAAGGGUGAGGGGAGGGGUAUGGUGGGGUCAGAGCUCUGUGUACAAACUUGGUGAGACCCUUGCCUUAAUGACAUACUCCACCUUGUAUACCUUGGUGUGCCAUUUUGAAACUUGAAUUCACUCUUGUCAAUUUA